GGAUGCAGGGAAUGAAAGGGAUGAGUGCGAUAAGGGGUACGAGGGGAUAAAGGGCAUGAGAGGAACGAAGGGAAUGAAUGAGGGGCUCUAGGGGAUGAAGGCUGAGGGGGCUGCAGGGUUGACGGGGUGUGGAGGCAGCGGGGCUGAGAGCCAUUAGGGAGGGAUGUGAAGGUCCUGAGGGUGAUGAGGGACCCUGGGGGCUGCAGCCGCCCACCCCAGCCCGGUGUGAGGUGUAGGUGCCCAGCCAGCCCUGGAGGAGCCCUCCUCCUCCUCUUCCUCCUGCCCUCUGCAGCUCAGCCCAGCCCAGCACAGGUUGUUUUUACGCCAAGCACUCCCCAGUAUAUCAGGCCUAGUCACCUUUCUGUCCCCGCUGCAUAAAUAUAUAAUGUUGUUAUGUUUUGAGGAGGAGGUGGUGUGGAGUUAAGGUGUCAGGGGGGGUCAACUGGGCACUUCCUAGGCCAUUUCCAGGAGGUGCCAGCAUGUAUUCCAGUGUUAUUUCCAUUUCCCAGCUGCGCUGUUUCCGUAAUUGCCUGUAGGUCGGAGAAUUUGGGAGGAGCAUCAAAGCUGUUCUGCUAUGCAAAUGCUGUUGGAAUUAUUUUUAAAUUAAAGAGUCUAUUAAACCAUAGGUUUUCCAAUGGUAAAGUCUUGCCUGGCCCAGCUAAGCAGUCCAAGGACUGUUGUGUGUAUAGCAAACUACAGCUACUCCACCAGUCUGGAGACCACACUACUCAGGGAGAGCUUCUGUGAGCGAAUGGAAAUGCGGCUCCAGCCCAAACUCCCUGAUCAGUCGAGCAUUUCGUGCAGCACUCCACUCUCCAAAAAGAAGAAAAGGUGACAUUACAGCUCCCAGACUGGCAGAAUUAACACCAUCUACAUUUCAUGUCAUGUAUCUUCCUCAGUGUGCCUCAUCUCCUGACAAAAAAAAGAGGAAUGAAGUGACCUGUUGAAGACUGUGGUAACUGCUGGGCCGGUGAAUCGAGAUGAAUUUUGUCAACUUGUACUCUGUGCUUUCGAGUGUUUGAGCUCUUGGGCCCUGUGACUGUGCUGAAAGUUCAAAAGGAAAUAAACUGAGAGGUACACAAACAGCA